rnacentral:rRNA from 1 species
GAUGAACGCUGGCGGCGUGCCUAAUACAUGCAAGUCGAGCGAACAGACGAGGAGCUUGCUCCUCUGACGUUAGCGGCGGACGGGUGAGUAACACGUGGAUAACCUACCUAUAAGACUGGGAUAACUUCGGGAAACCGGAGCUAAUACCGGAUAAUAUAUUGAACCGCAUGGUUCAAUAGUGAAAGACGGUUUUGCUGUCCCUUAUAGAUGGAUCCGCGCCGCAUUAGCUAGUUGGUAAGGUAACGGCUUACCAAGGCAACGAUGCGUAGCCGACCUGAGAGGGUGAUCGGCCACACUGGAACUGAGACACGGUCCAGACUCCUACGGGAGGCAGCAGUAGGGAAUUUUCCGCAAUGGGCGAAAGCCUGACGGAGCAACGCCGCGUGAGUGAUGAAGGUCUUCGGAUCGUAAAACUCUGUUAUUAGGGAAGAAAAAAUGUGUAAGUAACUAUGCACGUCUUGACGGUACCUAAUCAGAAAGCCACGGCUAACUACGUG